rfam:Chryseobacterium sp. IHB B 10212 strain IHBB 10212, complete genome.
CCCUAGCCCUGAGUGAAGCGGCAUCCUUUUUUGUUGCGGCCGGAGCGAAGCGGAGGCCGUAAUAAAAAAGAUAUAGCGGAAAGCAGGAAACAGC